rnacentral:ncRNA from 1 species
UACUUUGGAGACAUCUGCACAUGCAGAGGCCGAAGGGGCAAUGCCGGUUGAUCCGGUAAAAUCUCUCAGGCAAAAGGACAAAGC